AGUGAACGCUGGCGGUAGGCCUAACACAUGCAAGUCGAACGGCAGCACAGUAAGAGCUUGCUCUUACGGGUGGCGAGUGGCGGACGGGUGAGGAAUACAUCGGAAUCUACUUUUUCGUGGGGGAUAACGUAGGGAAACUUACGCUAAUACCGCAUACGACCUACGGGUGAAAGCAGGGGAUCUUCGGACCUUGCGCGAUUGAAUGAGCCGAUGUCGGAUUAGCUAGUUGGCGGGGUAAAGGCCCACCAAGGCGACGAUCCGUAGCUGGUCUGAGAGGAUGAUCAGCCACACUGGAACUUAGACACGGUCCAGACUCCUACGGGAGGCAGCAGUGGGGAAUAUUGGACAAUGGGCGCAAGCCUGCUCCAGCCAUACCGCGUGGGUGAAGAAGGCCUUCGGGUUGUAAAGCCCUUUUGUUGGGAAAGAAAAGCAGCAGGUUAAUACCCCGCUGUUCUGACGGUACCCAAAGAAUAAGCACCGGCUAACUUCGUG
rnacentral:rRNA from 1 species